UCUGAGGGCAGUAUAAACCCU
rnacentral:guide_RNA from 1 species